GGACGAACGCUGGCGGCGCGCCUUACGCAUGCAAGUCGCACGGACCUUCGGGUUAGUGGCGGACGGCUGAGUAACGCGUAGGUAACCUAUCCAGUGGUGGGGGACGAACUCGCCGAAAGGCGAGCUAAUACCGCAUGUGUUCCCGGUGUGAGAUUCACCGGGACGAAAGCCGCAAGGCGCCACUUGAGGGGCCUGCGUCCUAUCAGGUAGUCGGUGGGGUAACGGCCUACCAAGCCUGUGACGGGGUAGCNGGUCUGAGAGGACGACCAGCCAGAAGGGGACUGAGACACGGCCCCUACCUCCUA
rnacentral:rRNA from 1 species